rfam:Entamoeba invadens IP1 unplaced genomic scaffold scaff_1105074726269, whole genome shotgun sequence.
CCACGAGGGUUAACAUCGGAGCGAAUAGGAAGGGAAGAAAACCCAGAUAUGAAGCGAAAACGAAGGACUAAACAUAUAGCAGGAGUCACCUAGGAAAGGCUAGAGUUAAACUGUUGGGACCCGAAAGAUGGUGAACUAUGCUUGUGGUGUUUGAAGUCGAAGGAAACUUUGGUGGAAGGACUUAGGAGUGUUAAUGUGCAAAUUAUUUGCAAUAUAUGAGUAUGGGGCGAAAGGCUAAUCGAACUAUCUAGCAGCUGGUUCCACCUGAAUAUUCCCUUGGGAAGGUUGAAGUGAGAAAGUAGUGACGAUUGGUAAAGACAAUGAUUACACAUGAUGGACAGUUUGAUUUUUCAACAAUUUAACAAACUAUGAAUAGUCGAGAGAUUCAAAAAUAUACUAAUUUAUUAGGAAUGAGCAUAUGCGGACUUCAAUUCGUCCUAGUUUGGAAAGCAGGACUGGCGAUGCGGGAUGAACCAAACAUACAGAUAAAGUAUCCAAGUCUUGCAUGAGGAGAACCAUUGAAAAUAUUUAUUCAUAUUGACAGGAAAUUUGCCAUUGAAAUUGUAAAUUUUUAGAAAAGUGUAACAACUCAUUUACCGAAUGGAUGAGCCCUGAAAAUGGAAGGUAAUAAAAUGAGAGAGGUGAUAUUGUAUUUUUGUGGAGGCUGAGGCACACGAGGAGUAAGGAAAUACAUGGUGUCAAGAAUACGUGAGAGAUAAAGGUCGAGAAGUAAUUUUUAUUGAAACAGACUUGAGUACAGAUCUUGG